CCUACGGGUGGCAGCAGUGAGGAAUAUUGGUCAAUGGCCGCUAGCCUGAACCAGCCAAGUAGCGUGAAGGAUGACUGCCCUAUGGGUUGUAAACUUCUUUUAUAUGGGAAUAAAGUGCAGUAUGUAUACUGCUUUGCAUGUACCUUAUGAAUAAGGAUCGGCUAACUCCGUGCCAGCAGCCGCGGUAAUACGGAGGAUCCGAGCGUUAUCCGGAUUUAUUGGGUUUAAAGGGAGCGUAGGCGGGUGGUUAAGUCAGUUGUGAAAGUUUGCGGCUCAACCGUAAAAUUGCGGUUGAUACUGGCAGCCUUGAGUACAGUAGAGGUAGGCGGAAUGCGUGGUGUAGCGGUGAAAUGCUUAGAUAUCACGAAGAACUCCGAUUGCGAAGGCAGCCUGCUGGACUGUAACUGACGCUGAUGCUCGAAAGUGUGGGUAUCAAACAGGAUUAGAUACCCCUGUAGUC
rnacentral:rRNA from 1 species